AUUGAACGCUGGCGGCAUGCUUUACACAUGCAAGUCGAACGGCAGCGCGGGCUUCGGCCUGGCGGCGAGUGGCGAACGGGUGAGUAAUGCAUCGGAACGUGCCCAGUAGUGGGGGAUAGCCCGGCGAAAGCCGGAUUAAUACCGCAUACGACCUGAGGGUGAAAGCGGGGGACCGAAAGGCCUCGCGCUAUUGGAGCGGCCGAUGUCGGAUUAGCUAGUUGGUGGGGUAAAGGCUUACCAAGGCGACGAUCCGUAGCUGGUCUGAGAGGACGACCAGCCACACUGGGACUGAGACACGGCCCAGACUCCUACGGGAGGCAGCAGUGGGGAAUUUUGGACAAUGGGGGCAAGCCUGAUCCAGCCAUGCCGCGUGCGGGAAGAAGGCCUUCGGGUUGUAAACCGCUUUUGUUCGGGAAGAAAAACUCUGGGCUAAUACCCCGGGGGGAUGACGGUACCGGAAGAAAAAGCACCGGCUAACUACGUG
rnacentral:rRNA from 1 species